rnacentral:rRNA from 1 species
UACGAAGGGUGCAAGCGUUACUCGGAAUUACUGGGCGUAAAGCGUGCGUAGGUGGUUUGUUAAGUCUGUUGUGAAAGCCCCGGGCUCAACCUGGGAAUGGCAAUGGAUACUGGCAAGCUAGAGUGCGGUAGAGGGUAGUGGAAUUCCCGGUGUAGCGGUGAAAUGCGUAGAGAUCGGGAGGAACACCCGUAGCGGAGGCGGCACUCUGGGCCGGUACUGACGCUGAGGAGCGAAAGCGUGGGGAGCAAACAGG